rnacentral:rRNA from 1 species
UACAGAGGUCUCAAGCGUUGUUCGGAUUCAUUGGGCGUAAAGGGUGCGUAGGCGGCGCGGUAAGUCGGGUGUGAAAUCUUGGAGCUUAACUCCGAAACUGCAUUCGAUACUGCCGUGCUUGAGGACUGGAGAGGAGACUGGAAUUUACGGUGUAGCGGUGAAAUGCGUAGAUAUCGUAAGGAAGACCAGUGGCGAAGGCGGGUCUCUGGACAGUUCCUGACACUGAGGCACGAAGGCCAGGGGAGCAAACGGG